rnacentral:lncRNA from 1 species
CCCCGCCACAUUAUUUAUGUAUGUGUCUGUCUCAAGUCAGGAGCCUGUAAUUCAGUGAUUGUCGUUUGUUUAUGUGUUACAUAUUUGUUUUUCGUUCAUUUUUUUACAUAAAUAAGGCCGUUAGUUUUCUCACUUGAAUUGUUUUACAUUGUCUUAUCGGGGCCUUUUAUAGCUGACUAUAUGCGGUAUGGGCUUUGCUCAUUGUUGAAGGCCGUACGGUGACCUAUCAUUGUUAAUGUUCGUGUCAUUUUG